rnacentral:rRNA from 1 species
GAGUUUGAUCCUGGCUCAGGAUGAACGCUGGCGGCGUGCCUAAUACAUGCAAGUCGAGCGAACGGACGAGAAGCUUGCUUCUCUGAUGUUAGCGGCGGACGGGUGAGUAACACGUGGAUAACCUACCUAUAAGACUGGGAUAACUUCGGGAAACCGGAGCUAAUACCGGAUAAUAUUUUGAACCGCAUGGUUCAAAAGUGAAAGACGGUCUUGCUGUCACUUAUAGAUGGAUCCGCGCUGCAUUAGCUAGUUGGUAAGGUAACGGCUUACCAAGGCAACGAUGCAUAGCCGACCUGAGAGGGUGAUCGGCCACACUGGAACUGAGACACGGUCCAGACUCCUACGGGAGGCAGCAGUAGGGAAUCUUCCGCAAUGGGCGAAAGCCUGACGGAGCAACGCCGCGUGAGUGGUGAAGGUCUUCGGAUCGUAAAACUCUGUUAUUAGGGAAGAACAUAUGUGUAAGUAACUGUGCACAUCUUGACGGUACCUAAUCAGAAAGCCACGGCUAACUACGUG